rnacentral:rRNA from 1 species
AUUGAACGCUGGCGGCAUGCUUACACAUGCAAGUCGAACGGUAACAGGGAGCUUGCUCCGCUGACGAGUGGCGAACGGGUGAGUAAUGCGUCGGAACGUGCCGAGUAGUGGGGGAUAACGCAUCGAAAGGUGUGCUAAUACCGCAUACGAACUGAGGUUGAAAGUGGGGGACCUUCGGGCCUCACGCUAUUCGAGCGGCCGACGUCUGAUUAGCUAGUUGGUGAGGUAAAGGCUCACCAAGGCGACGAUCAGUAGCGGGUCUGAGAGGAUGAUCCGCCACACUGGGACUGAGGCACGGCCCAGACUCCUACGGGAGGCAGCAGUGGGGAAUUUUGGACAAUGGGCGCAAGCCUGAUCCAGCCAUGCCGCGUGUCUGAAGAAGGCCUUCGGGUUGUAAAGGACUUUUGUCCGGGAGCAAAUGCUGGUGGCUAACAUCCACCGGAGCUGAGAGUACCGGAAGAAUAAGCACCGGCUAACUACGUGCCAGCAGCCGCGGUAAGAC